GUACUCGCUUCGGCGGUACAUAUACUAAAAUUGGAACGAUACAGAGAAAAUUAGCAUGGUCCUGCGCAAGGAUGACACGGGAUGACACGCAAAACCUUGAAGCGUU